rnacentral:rRNA from 1 species
UGGGGAAUAUUGCACAAUGGGGGAAACCCUGAUGCAGCGACGCCGCGUGAAGGAAGAAGUAUUUCGGUAUGUAAACUUCUAUCAGCAGGGAAGAAAAUGACGGUACCUGACUAAGAAGCCCCGGCUAACUACGUGCCAGCAGCCGCGGUAAUACGUAGGGGGCAAGCGUUAUCCGGAUUUACUGGGUGUAAAGGGAGCGUAGGCGGCGAUGCAAGUCAGAAGUGAAAGCCCGGGGCUCAACUCCGGGACUGCUUUUGAAACUGUGUUGCUAGAUUGCAGGAGAGGUAAGUGGAAUUCCUAGUGUAGCGGUGAAAUGCGUAGAUAUUAGGAGGAACACCAGUGGCGAAGGCGGCUUACUGGACUGUAAAUGACGCUGAGGCUCGAAAGCGUGGGGAGCAAACAGGAUUAGAUACC